ACACUCUGGUUUUUCUUCAGAUCGCAUAAAUCUUUCGCGUUUAACUAAAGAUUUCCGUGGAGAGUAGCGCUGUGAGCAUGAACUACCGUAAUUGUUUGGUGUCCGUCCUCAAGGCUGGGA